GAUGAACGCUAGCGGCAGGCCUAAUACAUGCAAGUCGGACGGGAUCCAUCGGUAGCUUGCUAUCCAUGGUGAGAGUGGCGCACGGGUGCGUCACGCGUGAGCAACCUGCCUCCAUCAGGGGGAUAGCCUCUCGAAAGAGAGAUUAACACCGCAUAACAUAUCAGACCGGCAUCGGUCGGAUAUCAAAUAUUUAUAGGAUGGAGAUGGGCUCGCGUGAUAUUAGCUUGUUGGUGGGGUAACGGCCCACCAAGGCGACGAUGUCUAGGGGCUCUGAGAGGAGAAUCCCCCACACUGGUACUGGGACACGGACCAGACUCCUACGGGAGGCAGCAGUAAGGAAUAUUGAUCAAUGGGCGGAAGCCUGAACCAGCCAUGCCGCGUGCAGGAUGACUGCCCUAUGGGUUGUAAACUGCUUUUGUCCGGGAAUAAGCCUCCUUACGUGUAGGGAGCUGAAUGUACCGGAAGAAUAAGGAUCGGCUAACUCCGUG
rnacentral:rRNA from 1 species